rnacentral:tRNA from 1 species
GGGAAGAUGGCUGAGUGGCCGAAGGCGCAUCCCUGCUAAGGAUGAGUACUCGCAAGGGUACCGUGGGUUCAAAUCCCACUCUUUCCG